CAAGUCGAACGAUUAAACUUUCCUUCGGGAAAGAUAUAAAGUGGCGCACGGGUGAGUAACACGUAAGUAAUCUACCUUCGAGUGGGGAAUAACAUCGGGAAACCGAUGCUAAUACCGCAUAAUGCAGCGGCAUCGAAAGAUGACAGUUGCUAAAGGAGCAAUUCGCUUGAAGAGGAGCUUGCGGCAGAUUAGCUAGUUGGUAAGGUAAUGGCUUACCAAGGCUUCGAUCUGUAUCCGGUCUAAGAGGACGGUCGGACACACUGACACUGAAUAACGGGUCAGACUCCUACGGGAGGCAGCAGUCGGGAAUUUUGGGCAAUGGGCGAAAGCCUGACCCAGCAACGCCGCGUGAAGGAUGAAGUAUUUCGGUAUGUAAACUUCGAAAGAAUGGGAAGAACUCAAUGACGGUACCAUUUAUAAGCUCCGGCUAACUACGUGCCAGCAGCCGCGGUAAUACGUAGGGAGCAAGCGUUGUUCGGAUUUACUGGGCGUAAAGGGCGCGUAGGCGGCAAAUUAAGUCAGCUGUGAAAUCUCCGAGCUUAACUCGGAACGGUCAGCUGAUACUGAUCUGCUAGAGUGCGGAAGGGGCAAUCGGAAUUCUUGGUGUAGCGGUGAAAUGCGUAGAUAUCAAGAGGAACACCUGAGGUGAAGACGGGUUGCUGGGCCGACACUGACGCUGAGUGCGCGAAAGCCAGGGGAGCAAACGGGAUUAGAUACCCCGGUAGUCCUGGCCUUAAACGAUGAAUACUUGGUGUCUGGAGUCUCUAUAGCUCCGGGUGCCGUCGCUAACGUUU
rnacentral:rRNA from 1 species